AUGACCACACCAAGCUCGCACUUCCAUUCCACGCUGCUGCUGCCAGUACUCCUGCUCCAGAUAUCUGUUGUGGAUGAUCACAUGAUCCUGGGUGCCUCUGCCGAACAGCAACAGCCGCCGAUGAUCGCACAUCGGGGUUGUCGCGACAAGUGCGGCAACAUCAGCAUCCCCUUUCCUUUCGGAAUCGGGCCCGGCUGCUUCCGCAAGGGCUUCGAGGUACACUGCAAGGACUCCGCUCGUCCUCCUCGCGCCUUUCUCGCAAGUGCUUUCCUUGGAAAAGACCAGUGGGAGGGCUCCACCACCGAGCUCCACCUCCAUCGCGACCCGCUCACUCUUAACAGGUCGUUGCCGCCGAUGCUGCCGCUCGAGCUCGUAAGCAUAUCAGUUGCCACGAGCGAGGCGCGGGCAUACAGCGGGAUCUCAUACCUGUGCACCACAGACAAGACCAGCGGGUUGUUCAAGUUCUACACGAUGCCUCUCUCCUUCACACCGUUUGGCGUGUCGGCGACGCGUAAUGCUCUCGUCGGUGUCGGCUGGAGAGCCGAACCAUAUCUGGCCAUCCAUGAUUCGAAGAAUGCGGCCUACGACCACUUCUUCUGCCGUUCAGACAUCCUGGAGGUGGAUUUCCUUGGGCACGUGAGAAAUGGGUCGUGCACAGGGCAGGGCUGCUGUGAGACACCAUUUCCCCCGGCAUACAGAUCCGUCCAAUUUGCCCAAAUGAAGAUCUUGGUCGAAAACAACAGCAUGUGGAGUAUCAUGCCAUGCUCAUACGGCAUGUUGGUGGAGAAGUCAUGGUACAACUUCUCGACGCCAGACAUGUACGGCGACAGGGUGCUUGCCAAAAGAUUCCCCCGGGGCGUCCCCUUUGUGCUCGAUUUCGCAAUCGGGAAAGCUUCGUGUCCGGCGGAAGGCCAGCAGCCGCCUUCGGACUAUGCAUGUGUCAGCGGCAACAGCUCUUGCGCCAAUGCAACCAUUGGCUAUGUGUGCAGGUGCUGGAAGAAUUACGAGGGCAACCCUUACAUGAACAACGGAUGCCAAGACAUCGAUGAAUGCAAGCUUCCCGAGUUGUAUCCCUGCUCGAGUGACGGGAUCUGCAAAAACAUGCCAGGAGGCUACAAUUGUCCGUGCAGAUUUGGAAUGAAAGGCGACGGCAAAGCAGGAACGUGCACAAGCAUAUUCCCCCUAGCAGCAAGGGUGGCCGUUGGUGGUAUUCUUCUCAUGGCAGUUCUAUCAUUCAUUAUUGUUCUUCGCAAAGAGAAAAUGAAAAUGAGGGAAUUUUACAAGAAGAAUGGUGGGCCUACAUUAGAGAAGGCACAUAUCAUAAAGCUUUUCAAAAAGGAGGAGCUUAAACCAAUUUUAAAGAGCAACAAUUUAAUAGGAAAAGGUGCCUUCGGUGAAGUUUACAAGGGUCUUCUUGACAAUAAACCGGUUGCAGUAAAGAAGCCAAUUAAUGGUAGUGUGAUGGAGAAUGAACAGUUUGCAAAUGAAGUCAUCAUUCAAUCCCAAGUCAUCCACAAGAACAUUGUUAGGCUGAUAGGUUGUUGCCUAGAAGUUGAUACCCCCAUGUUGGUAUACGAGUUUAUCUCCAAAGGUAGCCUUCAUGACAUUCUUCACAAUAGUUAUAUCAAGGUCGAUCUCAGCUUGGAUGCGCGUUUAAGUAUUGCUGCACAGUCAGCGGAUGGUCUAGCCUAUAUGCAUUCAAAGGCCAAUAUUAAAAUUCUACAUGGUGAUGUUAAACCAGCAAAUAUACUAUUGGAUGAUAACUUUCUACCGAAGAUUUCAGAUUUCGGUAUAUCCAGGUUGAUUGUGAGGGACAAGCAGCACACAGGAUCAGUCAUCGGAGACAUGAAUUAUAUGGACCCAAUAUAUCUGCAAGAAGGCCUACUCACCGAAAAAAGUGAUGUCUAUAGUUUUGGAGUUGUCAUCUUAGAGCUUAUAACCAGGAAGAAAGCCACACAUUCUGACAAUAGUAGCUUGGUAAAGAAUUUUCUUGAAGCUCGUAAGAAAGGAAAGAAAGCAACUGAGUUUUUUGACAAGGAAAUUGCAUUAACAAAAGAUUUGGAGCUUCUUGAUAGUCUAGCAGAUAUGGCCAUGGAUUGCCUUAGCCUUGAUGUGGAUCGAAGACCAAUGAUGACGGAGGUAGCUGAGCGGCUCCUCAUACUGAGUAGAUCUCGGAAGUGUAGAUCGUUUUCGAGUUUAAAACAUGAGUAG
rnacentral:rRNA from 1 species